AUACUUACCUGGCGCAGGGGUAAACCAUGAUCAGCAAGGUGGUUCUCCCAGCAUGAGGCCCUUCCAUUGCACUCCUGUUGGGUUGACCUUUGCGAUCGCCUCAAAUGUAGGCGACUCGGGUACCCUC
rnacentral:snRNA from 1 species